UACGGAGGGGGCUAGCGUUGUUCGGAAUUACUGGGCGUAAAGCGUGUGUAGGCGGAUUUCUAAGUACCUUGUGAAAUCCCACGGCUCAACCGUGGAACUGCUUGGUAUACUGGUUAUCUUGAGCCACUUAGGGGCUACCGGAACAAAUGGUGGAGCGGUGGAAUGCGCAGAUAUCAGGAGGAACACCGGUGGCGAAGGCGGGUCUCUGGGCAGUAACUGACGCUGAGGAGCGAAAGCGUGGGGAGCGAACAGG
rnacentral:rRNA from 1 species